UGAACCCUCCUUCCAUUAGCUCGGGUACUGUCCGAAUCACCUCUACACCAUUGCGGACAUUGAAUUUGGCUCUGGAACUGAUGCUCUGCAAGCAU